rnacentral:rRNA from 1 species
UGCAGCCGCGGUAAUACGGAGGGUGCAAGCGUUAAUCGGAAUUACUGGGCGUAAAGGGUGCGUAGGUGGUUGAAUAAGUUAUCUGUGAAAUCCCUGGGCUCAACCUGGGAAGGUCAGAUAAAACUGUUUGACUCGAGUAUGGGAGAGGGUAGUGGAAUUUCCGGUGUAGCGGUGAAAUGCGUACAGAUCGGAAGGAACACCAGUGGCGAAGGCGGCUACCUGGCCUGAUACUGACACUGACGCACGAAAGCGUGGGGAGCAAACAGGAUUAAAUACCCUGGUAGUCCACGCCGUACACGAUGUCAACUAGCUGUUGGAUA